rnacentral:rRNA from 1 species
AUGGCGCCAAGAACACCUAAGGAGAAAUUUAACAAGAUACACGCAUCCAAGCGUAAUGUGAUCGAUAGAGUGUUUGGUGUGUGGAAAAUGAAGUGGCAGAUUCUACUAAAGAUGCCCAAUUAUUUAGUUGAAACUCAAAAGAUGAUAGUGGCUGCAACUAUGACCCUCCACAACUACGUUCGAUAUCAUGAUAAGGGGGAUCUUCACUUUCCUCGAGUCGAGAGAGAUCCCAACUAUGUCCCAACUAUCCGUUCAAGGUAUCAAUGGUAUGCCAUCCCUCUGAAUGCAUCAGAUGCG